GGAGAGGUCGCAUAGCCCGGCCUAGUGCGCGCGCCUGGAGAGCGCGUAUCCCCUUUGGGGAUCGUGGGUUCGAAUCCCACCCUCUCCGCCA
rnacentral:tRNA from 1 species